rnacentral:rRNA from 1 species
GACGAACGCUGGCGGCAGGCCUAACACAUGCAAGUCGAACGGACCCCUCGGGGUUAGUGGCGGACGGGUGAGUAACACGUGGGAACGUGCCUUUAGGUUCGGAAUAGCUCCUGGAAACGGGUGGUAAUGCCGAAUGUGCCCUUAGGGGGAAAGAUUUAUCGCCUUUAGAGCGGCCCGCGUCUGAUUAGCUAGUUGGUGAGGUAAUGGCUCACCAAGGCUACGAUCAGUAGCUGGUCUGAGAGGAUGACCAGCCACAUUGGGACUGAGACACGGCCCAAACUCCUACGGGAGGCAGCAGUGGGGAAUCUUGCGCAAUGGGCGAAAGCCUGACGCAGCCAUGCCGCGUGGAUGAUGAAGGUCUUAGGAUUGUAAAAUCCUUUCACCGGUGAAGAUAAUGACUGUAGCCGGAGAAGAAGCCCCGGCUAACUUCGUGCCAGCCGCCGCGGUAAAAC